UGGAGGGCAAGUCUGGUGCCAGCAGCCGCGGUAAUUCCAGCUCCAAUAGCGUAUAUUAAAGUUGUUGCAGUUAAAAAGCUCGUAGUUGAAUUUCGGGGUCAGUAGGUUGGUCAUGCCACUGGUAUGUACUGGUCUCACUGAUUCCUCCUUCCUGAUGAGCCGUAAUGCCAUUAAUUUGGUGUUGCGAGGAAUCUGGACUGUUACUUUGAAAAAAUUAGAGUGUUUAAAGCAGGCUAACGCUUGAAUACAUUAGCAUGGAAUAAUGAAAUAGGACGUUCGAUCUUAUUUUGUUGGUUUCUAAGAUUGACGUAAUGAUUAAUAGGGAUAGUUGGGGGCAUUAGUAUUCAAUUGUCAGAGGUGAAAUUCUUGGAUUUAUUGAAGACUAACUACUGCGAAAGCAUUUGCCAAGGAUGUUUUCAUUAAUCAAGAACGAAAGUUAGGGGAUCGAAGACGAUCAGAUACCGUCGUAGUCUUAACCAUAAACUAUGCCGACUAGGGAUCGGAUGAUGUUAAUUUUUUAAUGACUCAUUCGGCGCCUUACGGGAAAC
rnacentral:rRNA from 1 species